AGGAUAUGUCAUUUUGGAUGUAAUUUUAAAACAAACUGAUCAUGUCUCAUAUGAAUAGUGUGUACGAUGUCAAAUUGAGGCUCUUGCGGACAGAGAUAAAUGGGAGCAUAGAAACCUUGCUUUAUAAGAGAAAAAUAAAUGUUGGUUUUCUAUAAAUAUGUGAUCUCUUUAAAUAUUAAAAACAGGAGAAACAUUUCUAUCAGCUAAAAGCUGAGCUUUUCAAACAUUUGAACAAGUAGUUACAGUAGGGACAAUUUUUUUCUUUUUUGUCACUGUAGACAGAAAUGUCUAAGGCUUGUUAAACCUAUCUGUUUUUAAAAUGGGACUCAGUUCACUGUUACAUAUGACCUGAACUGAAUGUUAGGGAUGUGAACCUAAAGACUCAGGAUUUUCUUAUAAUUCCUGUGUUUGUUCACGUUGUCAACUUCCCUUUGAGGGGUAAGGAAUCAAUUUGUGAAGUUCAAAUGACUUAAAUUUCUCACAUUAAAUUUCAAAAUUUAUUCACUAAAUUCUGAAAAUAUUUGGAAUGAAAUAUUGGUAAAAAAAAAUUCAUUGCGUACUUGUCUUUGUUUAAGACAAUUUACAGGGUGGAGCCUGGGAAGCAAGCUCCCUCCCCUUUAGUUUAAAUAAUUUACACCAAUUUAACCCUUUCAUCAAUAAGGAGAAAUGAAUGUAAGGAGAAGUAAGUGAAAAAAAUAACUGUUUACUAAAAAAAAAACCAAACCAACAACAACUAAGAUAACAAUAAUAAGCACUAGAUAUUAAUGUGCUGAAUCCUGUGGACUCCAUGGGACCAAAACAAUAUGGUGGAUUGUCCUUUAAAAGAGAGGGAUCUGCCAAGAAAGGCAGGAAUCUUCCUUGAAUGGAGAAGAUGACCCCCUGACUGCCUCCCUACAAAUUUUUAUAACUCUGAAAUUAUGGGGCUGUCAGGCAAAGAUAGGGGAAAAUAAAUGACAGCAGUUCUUUACUAGAAUACACACACACACACACACACUCACACACACACACACACACACAUAACAACAGGAACAACAACAGCAACAUCAACAACACAAAAAAGAAGAAAACUCAAUAAGAGCCUUUUCCCGCCCUUUGGUGUAUGGACACAACUGGCAUGGAGUGCUGAUGGCUCGUGUUGAGGCAGAGGGGCUGUAAUGACUCCCCUAGGGCUUACAGGGGAUACUGGGAUAUGAGCCCUGAGCCUCCCAAGGGGUUUAUGGCCCAGGGAAGAGAGAGAAGCUAGAGGGGCUGGAGGCUGUUCAGUUUCCCUGUGUUUUCAGGUGUCUGGUGCAGUAACCUGGUAAUGGUGGCUCUAUUGAGGUUCUAGUCUACAAGCAGCUGGGAGGUGGUCUCUCCAGACAGAAGGAGAGAGGAGUUGGGGGCCCAGUCUUUUUCCCUUGGAAAUACCCACGCAGAUGGUGCAGGUCUCUCCUGAUGAGGAUGGGUGCUGCAGAGUGAGUCCUAGUCCACUGGCAGUUUACUGUAAGCAGUGGCCUCACCAAUAGGCAGUCAGGAGAAAACUUCACAGCAGUGCCAGACCCCCUGGGCUGAAAAAGUCCAGCACCAGCCACCACAACCAUCUCCCCUGCAAACCAGUAAAAGACUGCUCCACCCCCAGCUAAGAUCAACAUCUGUUUGCCAUUUCCAUGACAACAAAUGUGAAGAAAAUUCCUUCAAGAAACCUAACCCCAAACACAAACAAAUCCCUUGCCCAGUAUGGCUACCUCUUUAGUCAACUGUGUGGCCCAUAGGGCAAAGACAAGAUGAUGAAGAAGCCCUGUUCAGCUCAACCUUCCCCUUUGGUGUUAGUUCCUCUGCUUCUUUUUGACCAGCUGGACCCAGCUGAUGUUGGUGUUGCAGUCCUGAACUGCUGCUGUGUUCCGGAGAAAGAAAAUAGACUCACUGGGCAUUGAAACCCAUAGCCCCAGGCCCAACAGCUCCAGCUUGGUGGUACAGCUGUGUAUUGUAAAACUCUCUCUGAAAUAGUUUUGGAUUGUAAAAUUUGCAGUUUCUUGGAGAUCUGGCCAGGCAACUUCCCACAGACCUCAGAGAGAAACGAAAGAAGGCUUCUGCCUCAUGCUGCCUUGGCCCAGAGAACCUGCCCCAGCUAACUCUCUUGGCAGCUCAGUGAGAAUGGAAGAGGGCUCUGUGUGCCUGUUCCCUGUCUCUUAAAGAGAACCUGAGAAUCCCCAUGUCCCUGAAAACUUGGUGUCAAAACUCCAAUUCCUAUUUUGGUUCCCAGGUUUUAAAGGGACAGUAAAACAAACUGCGUGGAUUUUUGUAGAGAAAAAAUGGAAUAAAAUACAUUUUUUUUUGGUCACCCAGGAAAAUACUUUUCUAUUUUUCACAUAAUUUAUAAAAGUCAUUCCAUCCUCUGAAUUAUGGAGAUUACUAAAAAUCUGUUUCAAAGGAAUCUGCUAAUAUCAAUGCCAAGUUGAUUUUAAUGAUAUCAAAUUUUAGCUUUCAGAAUGCUGCAGGGUAAAUAUAAUAAAUAAAAUUUAUUAAUGUAUUAAAUGUACAUUACAGGGGAAAAACUCCAAAGACAAACACUCCUUCCAUAUAAGCUUGGCUCUUAAAACUACACAUUGUCAUACUGCAGCAAUUGCUGUUAAAAAUGUGAUAUCACUCUCACUGGAAAGCAUAAGGCACAUGCUGUAGUUUUAGGUUCAUGUUUCCAAACUCACAAAAUCUUUUCAGGGUUCUUCAUCUUUUCAAGACAGUUAAUUUGAUAACAAACAUACAGAAAAAAAUAGCGGGGAGUCAGGGGAGAAGAAUUACCAUGUAGCAAAGGAAAUGUGUGAAGUUAUACUCAUGGUUCUUUGCCCACUGCUGUUUUUCUCCAUGUCAAAGAAAGUGUUCACUUGUAUUCAUCAAAUGUACCAUCACAGACAAUAUUUACAAAUAGUACUGUUGUUAAACAUAUUCUGUGGUAAUUUUGUAGCAUCUGUUAAGAGUUUUAAGACUUGUCCAAGAAGUUUUUUGUCAGUUUUGUGUUACACUGAACAUUUGUCUCAAAUGGCAAAUAUGCAUUUAAUAAUAGUUAAAUAAAACUCUGUGUUGAGGACAAGUUUGAGAGAUAUCCCUGGGAAUCCUACAUUAAUCCAACAUGGUAGUAUUUUUUCAUGUCCCCCUGCAAUCAUGCAGAUUGCUGUUGCCUUAAAACUGAAGGCUGGAGAAAAGUAUCACUGGUGUUGGAGACAGGAAUGCGACAAAACACAUCAAGGUUCAUGCACAACAGCCAACUUUUAUUGAAUGAUCUUUUCCUUGCAUGGAUUUGAAGGUUUGUGCAUUUAUUCCCAUUGGCCAAACCAGUUGCCACCCGGCCAACCAGCCAAUAGCUGCUCGUGUCCGCAGUGGACUAGACCUGCUCUCCAACAGUCCACACUGGUCAAGUUACAUAAUCAAGGCACUUACAUAAUUAGUUAUAUUUCAGUUGUAAGAUUUGGAUUAUAAAUAAUUGUGAGGCCUUCAGGCCAGCUGUUAGCUACCACAGAAAGGGAUGUAUAGAUUUCACAAAACAAGAGUAUGUAAGUGUAUAUAUGUUUUGAGCUCAAUCCAGCAGGAUUUGUGGAGUAGUAAUUGGAAGAAUCUUCCUGAGAAGAAUUAAUUAGAUACAAAUGGGGCAUGUUUAAGCUCAAAAUUGAAAAUAUGCACUACUCUUGCAUUUGGUGACAAAGGUGAAUUUCGACAACUUAUUGUAAUGUAGUAAGACCUGACAAAUAAUGGAUAUGAAGGACCUGUUUGGUACAGGAAUUGGUCACAGUCAACACAGCUUCUUGAGAGGAGAGUCCUGCUUGCCAAGCCUGAUUUCCUUUUAUGACAAGUAUCCUCCAGAAAAAAAAUGUCCAGCCUACAUCUGGUUAAAGACAUCAUGGGAUGGAUGUUCUGCUCAGGGGGAGGAACCAAGCAUUCGCAUCUGGAUAUAAUCUGAGGCUUGGAACACCAAAGGCGGCCUUAUCCACUGAAUUCCCAGAGGAAGACCAGACGCUUCUACACCACCACUGGACAUUCCGAGGAAGACCUUCUUCUGCUUCAACAAAACCACAUCUAUCACUCCAAGAGGACUGCAGCCAUGAUUUAAUUGGACUGAUACCAACACCCUGACCAACAUGGCGUCAGGUUGUAUUGUGACCCUAUCAGUGAUUUUAUACUAUUAAAUUUAUUUUAAUGCUCCUAUUAAAUUAUAGUUAUGACAUGGAAUCUUCCACUGGUUUGCUUUCAUACUAAUACAAUUGGUAUUCCUCCUAUGCCUUUCCAAAGAGAAAAAAGUUGAUUGAGGUAAAGGUAUGAUAUAUAUUCUAUGUAUCAUAUUUUUUAGGUAUACUGAAGUUAAGAUAAUCUAAUAAAGCAUAGGGGGCUCUAAGGUAUUCUUUUUCUUGUCAAGUCCUCUAUAGUAGGGCUAUGGCAAUGGUUCUAAUUUUGGAAUAUAUCUGAUAGAAUAAUUCUGAAAAAAAAGUGUUACCAUAACUUAGGUCCUAAUACCUGGCUAUCUGUGAUGUUUCUUCAAAUCUGCACUCAUGUAAAUGCAACUUAAAUAAAGAACAAGAAUCUCAACAUCUGUAAAAAAGUUAUACUGCCCUUUGCCUUCUAAAGAAUGUAAAUCCCCUUUGCUCUUUUCAAAGCUGAAAUAAAAAUAAAGCCUUUAUCCCAAUGCCAAGUAAUUUGAACUUGAGGCACUUGCUGUUUAAAUUCUUCAAAAUAAAUUUCCAGUUGAAUCCACCAGAAUGGAGAUUUGCUACACCUUUUCUUCUUUCAUUCAAUUUUUAACUAAUCUGAAAUCCUUUACUGGUUGACAGUUCUGAACUAUACACCUAGAUUUUCCACUGGUGAAUUUUGGGCGGAUGCCAAUAGGUCUCAUACAUUUUUUUCAUGUAUUCCCUUGCUAACUCUGGGCUAAAUUUACAUUUCAAAUGAGAAGAAGCCAUAUAAACCUCCCACAGAUCUGUUUGUUGUAACAACAGUAACCCAAACCCAUCAAAUUUUAUUUUUCAAUGAAAGAUAUCAUAAAGAAACUAAAAAAAAAAUGUAGUUCCUGUCUACUAAAUUAAAUGGUGCUUUUCAGAGAGAAAUAGGAAAGGGAAUCUUUUAUUUUCCUUCAAUACUUUCUCAGCUAUGUGAUCAAAAUAUAUCAGGAACUGGUUAAUAAAGCAAUGGUGCUUUCUUUAGCUUGUACCAGUGAGCUUUAGGACUCACAAAGUUGUAUUUUUCAGUACCUGAAAAUGGACUGCUGGCUCUUUACUGCGAAGAUUGUUGUGGUUGACACAAUUAUUUAAGAUAAUCUUUUAUCCUAAUGCUAGGGCCUGUAAACUGUUUCCCUUUUCUCUUCAAAUGUGCUGUGUUUAAUAAGCAACUUUUUCAGCAAAAGUGCAUCUUUAAAAAUAAUGGGAAUGGAGUGCAGCAGAAGACUUCCUGGACCAGCUGAGGGUAAACAUAUUUAGCAGUGAAAACAAGGAUGAUGAGUGAUUGAUAGAAUAAUUGCCAAACUUGCAUGCAAUUGAGGAUGCUAGGGUCAGUAGGCUAGCUCUUUUGGAAAAAUAUUGAAGGAUUUUGCCUUGCUUCUAUAGGGAAUUUGGAAAAAAAAUAGAAGGGAAAAAAAGAGAAAGGUCCAGGAAGCAGCAUAAGUGUUUUGUCUCAUGAUCUUUCUUUACAGUAACAGUGAUGUCAGAGCUAAUAUCUUCUCAUGUGUGGACUAGUUAUUUGUUAUUAAUACUCAUUCAUAACAGCAUACAAAUGCCACUAAAUUAUGGAAAACAUUAUUUCUUAUAUCCUUGGCAAUGUUUCAGAAGCAUUUAAAGGCUCCUGAUGGGAUAAAGGUUUUGCAGUCAUACCUCAUCAUUGUGAGUCAAAACCUGCCCUUGAGAAGUGUUAGCAGACCCUCGGGUCUCUUGUGUCCCAAUAUAGUGCCCUGGCAAAACUGCCUCUAAUUAUAAUGCACAGAAGUAAUAUUGCAGUCAAUGAAACUUAAAUAGAAUUAGUAUAAUUCACAGCAUUGAAGAGAUUGGAUUCUCAGUUUAUAAGAACAGAGAAGACAAUGAGAAUUUUAAAAUAUAAUUAUUUAGCUUUGCCAGGAUUAGAAUGACCUUGGCUCUCAGCCAAGAACAUUCCAAUUGAGCUAACACCAGGAAACACAUCUAAUGUUGAGAUUGUCUUUGCAAUAUGAUAACAAUUUAAUUUAAUUUGUGAAGGUCAUCCAAACUUGUAUUAAGGACAGUAUUAGUGUACAGUAUGUUCACAUAUUUUAAUGUCACAGUGUAAAAGACAUGAAAAGGAGUCCAAGAACCAGGAUACAACUACUCUAAGAAAUGUUACAAAAUGAUGCAAUACUAUUUCUUAAAAAAUAUUAUAAUGAAAUGUCAGAGUUCAUAGAUGUUAUUUUAACUUUAAAGUCUAGUUUUUAAUUUCUUCAUUUAACUCCAUUUAUUUUACACACUAUAUACAGCUGUUCAAACUCAUAAUACAUUUCAAAUCAGAAAGCAUUAUGAGAAGUCAGUCAAGACAUUCUCAGACUGCUCAUAGUAGUCAUAUUUGGCUUAUUGGAAACUAGGGAAACUGCAUAGUAUUUAUUUGGAAUAAAAGUGCAAAAGAAGCAGUCCUUUGUUAAAUUUCAAUUUUGACCUAUCUCAUUAUGCAAUCAUGUCUUCAGAUUGUGCAGACUGGGAUCAAGGAGAUGACAAAUGCUAGGAAAGGCACCUUUUUUGUACAGUUCUACCACAAUGCACAUAUGAAAACAUGGCUUUAGCUUAAAUUUACCAAAGAGGUGGCUGUGCUAUGGCGCUUGGCUGUGGACUGGAGUGACAGAAGUGUAGGUGUAUUUCUCUCUGCCUCUUUGCAUGGCUGACUAAGGUGAUUUCUUUGACUGCUUCUGCUACAUAUACCCAUGGAUGCCCCUCAAAUCCUGUGGAUAGGUGGAAAGACCUAUUACAAUCUUCCUAAUCUGUGUGAAAUAUUUUUCAACAAAAUUGUAAUUUAUGGAAUGUAACAGAAUUGCUUGGGAAAAAAGGAGCAGAGGUAGCAGCAGAUUUAACAAAUCAAAGGUUGUGCUACAGAUAGCUUUCUUAUUUUCCAGGAUUAUAAACAGAGCAGGAAAGCAUUCCUUUCAAUAGCUUUCUUUGAACUCAUUCAGAUAAUAUAUGUAUUGGAAAGCUGAGAGAAGGAGAAAUUAGGGACAAAAAUGAAAUUUCAGCUUUAUCUAAGAGGUCACCAUAACCUUUGUCUUCCCAUCUUCCAAAUCUUUCAGUCUUGAGAGUUAAGAGGACAGAUUUACUUGGAUGAAUUAUGUAGUAAUUAUAGAUAUAUAAUUAAUUAUAAUAGAAGAGUCUUUUUGCCACUCUUCUCACUCUCUUUGAGUUGAAUAUAUAAAUAUAUUUCUUAGGGAUGGGAAGCAACUGCCUUUUUUAGAUGACCUUGAUGAAGAAGAGGUGAACUAGAAGGUCCUCAAAGACUUUACAAAUCAGAGAAGAUUUUAAUGCCAGUUGUGGAAGCAGGAUUUGGAGAAUACUAGCAAGUCAACUUGUGGAAUGAGGGACAAGUAUGCUUUGCUUUCAAGGGACUUAGACAAACCACAUGCCUUUAGAAGUAGUUUUUGUUUUCUAAAAAAUCAAUCUUUCUAAAUAUUGUAAUUGAAGAGUAUGAUUUUUCCCCCCUUCUUUUGUAUUGUUUUUGGUUUUGUUUGUUUUUGUUUUUGUUUUUGUUUUUUAGAGCUAAUUUGGAUUUUACAAUGACAACAAUUUAGGACUAAUUCUAAUAAAAGGGGCUGUGCAAUGAAGAAAUAAUUUCAGGGAGUUGAAAAUCAGUUGAUAAUCUAUUGAUAAUCAUAUUGAAUUGCAUGUUCAUCUUCUUUCUUGGACUCUAUAUCAGUCUGUGCCACUGUGCCAUUUCUGAAAGACAAAGUGUUUGUAGUACUUAUUACAGGAAACCCAGUACAAGUCAUUUUACAUGACUGGUAUUAAACAGUAAUAAAACCACUGAAUCUGUUUUCUUGAGCUCUUUUUUGGAUAAACUUUACAGGUCAAUAAAGUUCAAGCCUACCUUGUCCUACCUUGAUGUUUUUGUUUUCAGUCUUGUAAUUGCAGAUACUGAAAUUAUUUCUACAUGGCAGCGUACAGGUCUAGUGAUUCACUGAAGAAUUGGUAGCUGAAUAUCUGUAAAGGCCACCGCUCAUGCUAUCACAACUUCCUUAAUUUUGAAAGUUAUAGGAAAAAAAAUUGUCUUCUGGCUGUUAAGUGUAUACACUUACUAGAGUGACUGUUGCAAGUUGUCCUGGUUCUAGACAAGACAGAGCUAAUUUUUUUCAAUAUCCAAAAUGGAGCAUGGCCAGGACCAUGGAGAUUACUUUGUUUCAUUUCAUGUCAUUGCUGGGAGCAGGGGAAAGGGAUUCUCUUGUCUCUUCCAGGGAGGAGGGCUUCCUUCCUGUCAAGAAAACAUGGUAGGGGAAGCCAUCUAAUAUUUGUUUAUUGUUGUGGAUGUUCUAUGUAAAUUGUUUCUUUAUUUUACACCUUUAGUUAGUAAUAUUGUUGUGUUAUGGUUAAUUUCCUUACCUCAUUGCUGUUUCCAGUAAAUUAUUUUGAUCUCAAACUAUGCUCUUUACCUUUUGUGCCUCCAAUGGAAGGGGGAGAGGAGAAUGAGUGGUGGCGUGGUUUUAAUGGGAAAACUAAAUUAGAGAAUAACAUUCCUAAACCAUAACACAAGUCAAAUCACAUAUUAAUAAUUUUCAGUUUUCAGAUUGUAUUUUCCUCCU